GAUGAAGAACGCAGCGAAAUGCGAAAAGUAAUGUGAAUUGCAGAAUUCAGUGAACCAUCGAAUCUUUGAACGCACAUUGCGCCCGCUGGAACUCCGGCGGGCACGCCUGUCCGAGCGUCAUUUCAACCCUCAGGCCCCCCUUCGCGGGCGGGCCUGGUGUUGGGGCCCGGCCGCUACCCUGCGGCCGUCCCCUAAAUCCAGUGGCGGCCUCGCCGUGAUCCCUUGCGUAGUAAUGCACCUCGCACCGGAGAGCGCAGUGGCCACGCCGUAAAACCCCCAAUUUUCAAUGGUUGACCUCGGAUCAGGUGGGAAUACCCGCUGAACUUAAGCAUAUCAAUAAGCGGAGGA
rnacentral:misc_RNA from 1 species